rnacentral:tRNA from 1 species
CCUGGUGGCUCAGAGGUUAAAGCAUCUGCCUGGAAUGCAGGAGACCCAGGUUCGAUCCCUGGGUCAGGA